GAUGAACGCUGGCGGCGUGCCUAAUACAUGCAAGUCGAGCGAACAGACGAGAAGCUUGCUCCUCUGACGUUAGCGGCGGACGGGUGAGUAACACGUGGAUAACCUACCUAUAAGACUGGGAUAACUUCGGGAAACCGGAGCUAAUACCGGAUAAUAUAUUGAACCGCAUGGUUCAAUAGUGAAAGACGGUUUUGCUGUCACUUAUAGAUGGAUCCGCGCUGCAUUAGCUAGUUGGUAAGGUAACGGCUUACCAAGGCAACGAUGCGUAGCCGACCUGAGAGGGUGAUCGGCCACACUGGAACUAAGACACGGUCCAGACUCCUACGGGAGGCAGCAGUAGGGAAUCUUCCGCAAUGGGCGAAAGCCUGACGGAGCAACGCCGCGUGAGUGAUGAAGGUCUUCGGAUCGUAAAACUCUGUUAUUAGGGAAGAACAAAUGUGUAAGUAACUAUGCACGUCUUGACGGUACCUAAUCAGAAAGCCACGGCUAACUACGUG
rnacentral:rRNA from 1 species